rnacentral:lncRNA from 1 species
AUCGCUUUCAUUUGAUUAUUAUGUCCUUUAUAAUUUUUCCAUUUAUUGAACAAGUUUCUCUAAAUAUAAUAGGAAAAUUGCACUUGUUUGUAGGAAAAUUUUAACAGGUGUAUUGCCGGAAUGUGUAUAUACCGAUUUCAUCAAUGUUAAAGAGCUGAUCGCUCAUGUGUGAAAUAUUUACAAGUACACAUAAUGUACACAAUCCGCC